rnacentral:rRNA from 1 species
CCUGCGGAGGGAUCAUUACCGAGUUUACAACUCCCAAACCCCUGUGAACAUACCUUUAUGUUGCCUCGGCGGAUCAGCCCGCGCCCCGUAAAACGGGACGGCCCGCCGCAGGAACCACAAAACUCUGAUUUUAGUGUAACUUCUGAGUCUAAAAAACAAAUAAAUCAAAACUUUCAACAACGGAUCUCUUGGUUCUGGCAUCGAUGAAGAACGCAGCAAAAUGCGAUAAGUAAUGUGAAUUGCAGAAUUCAGUGAAUCAUCGAAUCUUUGAACGCACAUUGCGCCCGCCAGUAUUCUGGCGGGCAUGCCUGUUCGAGCGUCAUUUCAACCCUCAAGCCCCCGGGUUUGGUGUUGGGGAUCGGGCUGUACUCCAGCCCGGCCCCGAAAUCUAGUGGCGGUCUCGCUGCAGCCUCCAUUGCGUAGUAGCUAACACCUCGCAACUGGAACGCGGCGCGGCCAAGCCGUUAAACCCCCAACUUCUGAAUGUUGACCUCGGAUCAGGUAGGAAUACCCGCUGAACUUAAGCAUAUC